rnacentral:lncRNA from 1 species
CGCCAUCCCAUGCAAUAAAAUUAUUAUUAUAUUAUUGAAAAAUGCAUCCACUUUUUAUAUUCCCUAAUCUUCAAGUGAUAUAUAAUUAUCUAAUAGUAAUAAAAUCCUUCUUGCUGGCUUAUCUAACGCAGUAGUGCGCCACUGGUAAUACCUAUAUAACAACACACAUAACUCAUAAAAUCUUCCUUCCUCAACCUUAUCAAUUACUCAUAUUUCGUUUCUUCUAAAUUUUGUGUGUAGAAAUAGAGAAGCAAAGUAUACAUAUUUUGAUGGGCGUUUGAAAUGGAAGCACGCAUUCUCGUCGUGGCCAUUUUCACAAUUCUCCAAACAGCCACGUGGAGCUCACGUGCAACGGCAAUGGUGGUAGGUUUCAAAGCCACUCCAAAUCCCGACGUCUNCUUAUUGAAAAAAAAAUGAACUAAAUAGGACAUUUAAAAAAAAAAAAAACGGGAGUAAUAUACAACUUCUCAUAUACUACUUCAUAGGUCAUACCCACCUGUGACUGCAGGCACACAUAUACAUGAAAAUUUCAACCUAUAUUAAUUUCUACCUAUUUAUACAGGCAGUUGCGAAAACGUAAAGAGUUGACUUUUUUGUUUCCCUAAAUCUUUAACUCAGAAGACAGAGAAAGGUCAUGAGCGAGAAAGUCAAAAAACAUCAUAAUAGCAUCUAGUUGACAAAUGACCUUCUAGAUAAGCAUUUUUUUUUNUUGGAACACCAACUAGAUAAGCAUAAAGCAUACAUCUAAGUUGUAUUUCACUUCCCCACCCCACCAGUUAAUCUGACAAACGUAUAUAUACAGUAUUUGUCAUUAAUUUACUUAAAUUCGUGGAGUGUAUAUGUUGAUGAAUUUAUCUAAUAUUUUUAUCAGACAACAUGGAUAUUAAUUAAGAUCGAUAUAUUCUUCUUUAAUUAUUUCGUUUAAAUUCUCUCUGUAUGGUAAAAUAAACAGCUUAGUCUGAACAAAGAGACCUUAACCAUUUCGCAUAGCUGUUGUUAUCUUCAUUGAUUUUCGUGUGUUUAAUUAAUCUGCUAAUCAAUUAAUAUUUGAUUAAAUGUCAUGCUCAUAAAUACAAAAUAGUACUAGUACUUAUUUUAAAUAGUACUACUUGUCAACUAAUUAUUUUAGGGGGAGUACGGAUUCACCCAGCAUCGAGUAAACCCUAAGCUAGUAGACUAGGACAAAGAUAUUCUUCCCAUACAAAAGUGCCCCUUCAACAUAAUCUUAAUUUAUUUAUUUAAUCUUCGUCGUAGCACAGCGAAUCACGCCGAAACCAUUAGUUCCUCUCUCUUCUCUUUUAUGGACGAAUAAGAAGAAAGUUAUCGAAUAAAGCUGUGACAUGCAAAUGAGAUGCAGUUAGAUAAUAUAGGAAGUGAGAAAAGGCAUCAAGUGUUGAAUAGCUGCAAAAGUUCCAUGGUCUGUAUGUGUAUAUACGAAAUUUUCCAAUGUAGGGUCAUAGUAAUUAAUAUGUACUAACAUAUAGUAUUACAAUAAUAAAAUACACAAUUUAUUGAGAAAACGAAAUAGAAAUUCGAGUUGCAAUUGCAACUUGCAGAUUUACAUUGAUUCAAUAAAAGUAUCACUUUUAGGUGGAUCCACCAAUCCUCCAACAUUAAUAUAAUAUCUACUGCUGCUGCUGAAUUGAAAUUUUAUUGAGAAAAAGAAAAACGAAAGUAACAAAGAAAACCCGUUGAAGGCACAAUAGACGCAAACUAACGGGCUACGAAACCAUAACGGCGAGGACCCAUAGGGAAAAACACCGUGAUAGGAAAAAAGAGUCAAGAAAUGUGCAGGAGCUCCAUAGCAUGAACCCCAUGACAAUCAAAAUUCAAGAGCAUCAUCCUCCGUAUGAAUAUAAGAAUCCAUGAUGUCCCCCCAACGUUGAGGAUAGACCGGUUGAAUAUCAGAAUCCAUGAUGUCCCCCCAACGUUGAGGAUAGACCGUUUGAAUAUCAGAAUCCAUGAUGUCCCCCCAACGUUGAGAAGAGACCGCCGUCAUCGCAAGACCAGCUGCAUCCCCGGGAGUGGACGAUAGAAGCAGGAUGUCGUAACCUUUGCUUUAUAGACGGUAUUAGAAAUCCCCCCUUUCCCGACUUGCUUGGUAGCGCCCUUAGGACGCCCUCGGCCUCGCUUGGCCGUAGGAGCUUCAGUGAGCUCGACUGUUGAGUCUGAGGCUGGGCGAACCUGAUCAAGAGGCACAGUUGCAUGAGUCGAGUCAUCAUGCAGAGGGACGAUUGAAGCACCAGACUCAGGGGUGCGAUCGAUGCCAGGCUCUUCCUGAGAUGCUGAAGUCAUAAUAGCGGCUGUGGGUAUGCCACUACUAGAAUUAGGCACAACAUCAUUUAGAGACAUAUCGGGAGACUCAACAACAAAGUUUUCGUCCACCCUGUCGUCUAUCUGUUUCGGUCCACCUUCUCAUCAUCUUUAUGAAACACGCCGUAACGUUUUUCCAAUCCAAUCGGCUGAAGAUCACUAUCCUUGACAUUAGGUUCAUUAACCUGUUCCUUAGGCUGCCUAAGCAGGCUUGGGAUCCGACCGUAGUAGCUCUUUCAUGAUUCUCCUCAACUUGAUCAGCCGCUUCCUCAUUCUUCUGCUUGCCAUUUGCUUUCGCAACUCUCCGGCAUUUGUCCGUGGAAUGACCAGUGAUUUUACAACGAGAACAGAACAACGGCAAAGAUUCGAAACCAAAUUCAAUGUAGAAAGAAUUAUUACCAUCAUCGAUGUACAUUGAAUUGAGAAGGGGCAGCGCCAUAUUGAUUUCCACAAGGACCCUGGCGAAGUGCCCCACUUGGCCAUUAGCAGAAACGUUGUCAAUACGCAACGGAUGUCCUAGGGCUCGACCAAUAUUAGCAAUAAUAACUGGAGUCCAUAAUUCCACCGGGAGGUAAUACACCCUUACCCACACUUGCGCAAGAGAUGAGGUUUCUUUAUAAGGAUCAAAGUAUCUGCACCAUUCUCGAAGACGUAUGUGACCCGUUGAAAGCUGGAGGAUCGCAUUUCCUUUUGCCUUUUUUUUUGCUUCCAGCGUAUUGAAUUUGAUAGUAAAGAAUCCCUUAGCCAUAGGAAUGAAUUGGCAAUCCGAGCACUGCCAGAUACGUUGCAACUCUAGCGCAAUAUCCGUGAACGAACGCGGCUUGUCGCCUUUGCGAAGGAUCAUCCUCCCGAUCAAAGCAAACUGGAAUUCAUCUAGACGCUGUUGAUACUCUGAUUUCGGGAUCGAUAAAGUAACGACCUCCCCCUCACGUUUCGAAUGAAGGGUACGAAGGCCAUAAGCAGGAAAAUCCGGCUUCUUGAUAAUGGUAGGCCGAACUUUCGCGGCAUAAGAGAUAGGUUGGCUGGACGACUGGAUGAGCUGUUCUGAGUCGUGUAAUCCUCCAGAAGGCUUAUCUGUAUCAGCAUGAGGCGUCGACUGCAGAGAGUGCAUCUUAGUAGCAUCGAGUUGUAACAGCAAACCAGCUUCGGCGGCGCUAGUAACGGCCGAAGUGGCGAUGCUUGUAUUUGCAGCAGCGGCUAGGGGCAGCGGCUGAAGAGAGUGCCUCUUAGAGGCGUCUAGAGGUCGUGGAGGAUCGAAGUUUGUGGAGAUAGGAGGGAGGUUGAGAAAAUAUAAUAUCUACUGUAUGGAGAGGUCCCUCGCCAUCCCAUGCAAUAAAAUUAUUAUUAUUAUUAUUAAAAUGCUACUCACUUUUUAUAUUCCCUAAUCUUCAAGUGAUAUAUAAUUAUCUAAUAAUCUAAUAAUAAAAUACUUCUUGCUGGCUUAUCUAACGCAGUAGUGCGCCACUGGUAAUACCUAUAUAACAACACACAUAACUCAUAAAAUCUUCCUUCCUCAACCUUAUCAAUUACUCAUAUUUCGUUUCUUCUAAAUUUUGUGUGUAGAAAUAGAGAAGCAAAGUAUACAUAUUUUGAUGGGCGUUUGAAAUGGAAGCACG